CCAUCCAAUCCCUCUUGUUCAAAACAUUUCUGGAUGGUGAUUUAGAGAGCCAUUCUAGUUUGUUAACUAUUAACCAGUAAAUGUUCCUAUCCAUUACAAUUACUGGGUUUAUGGUAUUGCAAAAUUUCUAAGGGGGACUGAAAAUACUUUUGUUAUCUCCAUUUCCCUCCCAGCUAUGCCUCAUUCUGUGCACAGAUAAUGAUCUCUCUAUUUUUCAGUUCUGCGUAUAUAAUAAUGGAGAUAAUAAGAGUUCAGGCUUCUGCUCAAAGAAUUUUAUGCAGAAGAGAUUCCAGAGAAUUCAGUGGAUCAGUCAUUGAUGGGUCACCUUGUCCUACAUGCGGUUUUAAACCAUUUGCGCCUAACCCGGUUUGAAGUUUUACUCUGUCGACUUAAGGAAAACCUUUGAAAAAGUAUGUUUUGUGUAUUCCUACCGGGAAGGCUCGCUCCCUUGUCUUUUGGGGGUGCAGAGGAGGAUGGGCAGGAAAUGAUAAAGCUUUCUAAUCAUAAGAGAAUUUGAUACUUGCUUCCAGCAACAGACUGGGUUAAGAACAAAAGUAGGACAGCAGUAUUGGGGUUCUUUGGGUAUGUUUGCUGUGUAGUUUAGAGAUAACCAAACUAUAUUUAACCCAGGUAACAUAAAUACCUUCAGGACUCUAACCUGACAGCACAGAGCUCAGCUGUGCUGAUUAGGUGCAUGGAAAAAGAAUGGCAGUGUCAGGUCUCUGUAGUGGAUGAUCCUAUCCAGCAUUAACAGGUCACAUGAAUCAGUGUACUGAUCUCUACCUUUGAUGUUGCAGUUAGAUUAACUAAGAUAAAUGUAACAUCCUGAAUCUCUGAAGAUCUGGCAUUUUUUCUUACACAGAAUCUGAAGCAGGUUAAAAGCUCUUACAUUCACAAAAUUGUUUUGUAAUUCAAAUGGACCAGUGUAGAUUAGUGUUGGCUGUUCCUCUCAUAUCCUUCAGACAGGAGAUUCAUGUGCUUCCCUGUACAAUCAAGUAUUUCAUAUUCAAAAUGGCAGUUGAGGUCUUCUAUUCCACUGUCUGCCUCUGCCUAGUAUAUAGGUCAAAAGGGACAAUAUGUAUUUUUCAGAAUGCAAAAGAAACCAAUUACUGUAACUGAUCUCCUUGUCUUUGCUCCUCAUUGCAAACAGAGCUGUUUAGCAAAAGUGACUGCUUAAAAUUCUAAUGCCACCCUUCUUAAAAUCUGAAUUGAAUUUGUGUCAAGUGUUGUCACACUUGCUAAACAGCUGUGUAUGUGAGGGUGACCUUGAAUACCCAGAUUUGAGUCUCUGCUUUCACUGUUAGUUCUUCUGCCUUGAUAGAAGCUCCUACGACUGAUUCUUCAGUCUGACAAUCCAGAUCAUACUCUGUGCACAGUUACAGGAGCAUGAAUAGAAGAACCAACUGUGAUGAGAGGCUGGAGAGUACAGAGAUCUCCAGUUAGCUCUAGACCACUGCCCCUCUCGGAGCUACAGAUGUGUGUUCAGCAUGACUCUCUCUGCUUUGGCCUUGCCAAGCUAGUGCAAUUACUGCUGGGAGCUGUAAACCAGACAGGUUAAGCUCGAGUUUCAACUGAAUCUUCUUCCAUAAUCAAGUGGAGUAAAAAAGUGCCAUGCUUUGACCAAUUCAGACUCUAAGAAUUUACCUAACAUUCACUUUUUCUCUUUCACCACUGUAGUGGUGUUGGUUCAGAAUGGAGGUCUAAGCAGGUAAUAUAUUUCGUGUUGCAGAAUAUUUGUAGAAUCAAAAACUUCCUUGAUGAUGUUUGUUUCCCUUCCACUAAUUCUGCUUGACUUUCUGUUGCUGUAGACUAGGAGAAGGGAAACCUAUCAAAAAAUACUCUCAUAUGAGUUACGCACUGUUUGCAGAGGACCACAUCAAGUUUCAUACAGGAGAAGCAAUGUACACUUUCCUUAUAAACAGUCACUGGUACAGCACCUGCUCUUCUUGGAAGGUGAGAGGCAUAGUAAACACAUGCUCCUCGUGAACCUCUGGAGACUGACCCUCUGUGUUAUGAAGGCAAGAUGUCCACCCUGCUACUGUCACCAGGAGAGCUGUACAGGAGGAGAAUUGGAAAGACUGGGACAUCACAAGUGCCAAAGGACAAAGGCUGGAGCUUGAGGUUUUUUUUGCUGUUAACACCUAUUUAACAAACGUGCCUCACAGGGAAAUUCUUUCUGUUAACUAUUCAACUGUCUUUCCCCCAGGGAGUUCCCAGUAUCCCUUUAUUUCUUGGCAGAGUAAUUAGGCCAGUCAGAGCUGGGUGCUGCCAUGGCUACACUGCUUCAGGUUACACACUGGGAUUAGUGCGAUUUGCUUGUACAUGAUGUGCUUGUCAGGAGAUGUUAUGUGGUAGACCUCUGAGCAAAGCUUGACUGAUGCUGAAACAUGGAUUGGUCAGACUCUAGUCAUCCUUUGAUUCAUUGCCCAUAUAAAAACACUGGCAUAAAGAAAGUCUCCUUAACAUCCUGCUGUGAAAUAAAAGGCCUUUGGAGACCCUUGUGAGGCCAGGAAGUAACAAUCUGAGUGCUAAAGAAAAUAGGAAUGAGGAAAAUAUCUUAGCACACAGACCAUUGAUGGACAUUCCUCAGAGACCACAUCUGUCUCCUGUAAGGACAUGAGUAGAGGUGGAAGAGAUGUUGGAAGUCUAUAUAUCAAGAGAUAAUUUUCAAAUAUUCUCAGGAGGCAUCGGUGGUUGUGUAACAGAAGGAGACUUCCUCAACACAAACACAAGCAUAGAGAGGUAUGUUUUUUUCCUUUUUCCACUUACUAUGCCAUGAAGAUUUUUAUUAUUAUUAUUUCAGUCAUUUUGUACACAGGAAUCCGCCUAGGGAAAAGGUUAAACUUCUUUCAACACAGUUCUGAAGACCAAAGAAAUCCCACUUUUUAAUCCCAAUUCACCCAUCAGCUCUCUAAAACAGCUCUUUGUGGUAUUGUUCUCCCAUUUUUUUAUUGUUCUUUGAAGACGGAUACACUGAGUGAUUAUGUGUGCGACUUCUGGGAAAGGAUCAAGACUCCCAUAAAAAUCCUGACACAGGCAACCAAGGGAAACAAAAUGCAGUAAAUAGGAGUUGUGGUGCGAGGGGAACAGAGCAGAGCUAGUAGCACUCCUGCAGGCUUUAUCCUAAACUAUGUCCCUAUGCAACCCUAAUACAAAACACCUCUACAUUUAUAGAUUUGUCACUGUAUGGCUUGUACAGUUACCAGUAUUUAUUACAAAGCAUAUUGAGUGACAACUAAUUUUACUGAUACAAACCUGUAUGUAUGCUGUGGUGGGUUGACCUUGGCUGGACCGGUUGCCCACCAAGCCACUUUAUCACUCUCCUCCUCAGCAGGAUGGGAAGGGUAGAAAAUAAGACGGAAAAAAAUUAUGGGUCAAGAUAAAUGCAGUUUAAUAAAGCAAAAGCAAAGUUUGCAUGUGGAAGCAAAGAAAAACAAGAGAUUCAUUCUCAACUUCCCAUCAGCAGGUGAUGUCUGGCCACUUCCUGGGAAGCAGAGCUUUAGUUUGUGUAGCGGUUGCUCUGAAAGACAAACUGUAGUAACAAACAUGUUUCCUCCCUUAGCUUUUAUUGCUGAGCAGACAUCAUAGCGUAUGGAAUAUCCCUUUGGUCAGUUAGGGUCGGCUGUCCUGGCUAUGUCCCCUCCCAAGAUCUUGUCCACCCCCAGCCUACUGGUGAGUGGGAUAUUGGAGAGACAGCCUUGAUGCUGUGGAGCACUGCUCAGCAGAAGCCAAACGCUGGUGUCUUAUCAACAUCUUUCUAGAUACCAAUACAAAGCGCAGCACUAUGAGGGCUGCUAGGGGGAAAAUAAAC